rnacentral:lncRNA from 1 species
AAAAAAAAAAAAAAAAAAAGAGACGAAAAAAACUACACGAAAAAAGACUGAAAAAAUACAAAAAAAAGGAGGCCAAACAAAUCUGGAAAAAAGGAUCCACUAUUCUGCUUCUUCUUUAAUAAAAAAUUCAAACGAACGACCCUUCCAUUUCUGAAAGCCAACAACGCGCCAUUUCUGAUUCAUUACUAACACACACAGGCACAAGACGGGAAAAUCAAACACAGUCGUUUCCUUCAUCUUCAAAUCCUUCUCUCUCUCUCUCUCUCUCUCUCUCUCUCUCUCUCUCGUUUUUCUAGUCUCAUCUCCAUCACCGGCGAGAUUCGCCUAAAGCCGGUGAAAAUUGACCCCCGUAACCUAUCAGUUACCCUUCGAUUCUCUGAGUUUCGGAACUAAGUAUACACAAAGCUUCAGUUCUUCCUCAAUCGGAAUUCAUGGAGGCAAGCCGCUUGAUUUUCAUUUGAGCCGAGGUUAUUUUCGGUUCGAGUUUCCGUCGAGGUCCCAUUCGAGGUCGUUGUUCUUCGUUUCCGUUCGAGGUUCUGUCAGGCUCUAAAUCAGUGACGUUGGUUCAUUGUCGAGAUAAAUGAAAUCAUCUGAUCCCUUGUUAUGGAAGCUAUGUAUGUAAUGGAUGUGAGGUCAUUGUCACUUAUAUGCUAAUGGGAGGAUUAUCAUUUAAUUUAUCAAACUUAGAGGAUGCUUCAGGUAUUGACUCCUCUUAAAAUCCCCUGCUUCUUCAUUUUUGGUUCGUAAAACUGGAUCAGUGAAGUUCACCUCUUUUCCUCAUCAUAAUUUCCUUCACAUCGUUUUGAAUACUUGAUGUCCAUAAUAUGUUGUCAAAUACCAUUUGUUUUAGACUGUUUAAAUGCCGAUUUAGAGUAAUCUGUUUUUACGACUAUUGUGGAUAUGAUAUAAUUAAUAUAAUCGGCCUUGUAAUUUGUGUGUGAGAUUGUGAUAAACUUGCUUGAAUUGGAAAUACUAUAUGUUGGUCCAAAAAAAGAAACAUAAUGUCAUAAUUAAUUUGUAGCAUUUUGUUUGGAUUAGAAAUUGGGAGUUGCAAUUUAAAUAGAACGUGUGAUAAUGGGUUUUGUACUAGGCAUUACACGAAAAAAUGAAUCUCGUAGUCUGCUAAUAAAUUUGAGGUGCGCCAUGCCAAAUAAAAAUAUCAAUUGCGUGGCCUUUAUUUUAAUUAUGUAUUGAUCCUUAGAAUUCAAGGCGAGUCGUUUAGUUAAAUUCCACGGCCCUCGCAAAGUACAAAUACGUUAGUCUCUUUAGGCGCGUAUUUUAAUAAUAUUACCUUCCUAAACUCGGGUGCGCAUUUAUAUGACCCAAAUCCAAAUCUCAAAGAAGUCGAAAUGUGUCAACAACCACGGGUGCAUUGAUGUGACGUGGUUCGAGACACGUUUUCACGAUGUUGCAAUUCUCGUUAAAAAUAAUAAUAAAAGCGGUUUAAGGUUAAAAAGAAUAAGAGCUAAAACAUGUUUUGAAAUCAGAUAAAUCAAAAUAUAACAGUUGAGCGACCGUGCUAGAACCACGGAACCCGGGAAUGCCUAACACCUUCUCCCGGGUUAACAGAAUUUCAUACUCGGAUUUCUGGUUCGCGGACUGUUUAACAGAGUCAUAUUUUCCUCUGUUCGGGAUUCAACUGGUGACUUGGUACACCAUUAAUCUCCCAAGUGGCGACUCUAAUAAUUAAUAAUAAAUUCCGUUCUGAUUGUCCUUUAAGUGGAAAAACUCCUUUAUACCCAUGCAGGUGUAGUAAAAAAGGAGGUGUGACAGGUGUUGCCAUAGGUUCUACUCCAUACACCAUAUUUUGUAAUGCUUUAUACGUUGGGUUUGGUAUAAUGUUGAUAUAGGAAGAUAGAGUGAUUACUUAUGCAUCACGGAAAUUGAAGCCUCAUCAGAAGAAUUAUUCAGUUCAGAUUUGGAGUAGUAGCGAUUAUGCACGCACUCAAGAUUUGGAGGCAUUACUUGUAAGGUGUUUCAUGUGAGGUUUAUACUGAUCAUCAUAGACUUCAGCAUCUAUUCAAGCAGAAAGAUCUGGAUUUGAGGUAGCGGAUGGGGCGAGAGUUACUUAAGCAUAUGAUAUCACUAUCUUCUACUAUCUUGGUAAGGAAAAUAUGGUGGCGACUGCUUGAGUAGAAAAGUAAAGAGUAUGGGGAGUUUGGCAUUAAUUCUUUCUGAGGAGAGGCUUUGGACUGUGGAUGUUCAGGCCUUGGCCAAUAAAUUUGUAAGAGUGGAUAUUUCUGAGCCUAGUAUAGUUUUUGCUUGUGUUGUUGCCCACUCAUCCUUGUUUGAGCGCAUUAAGGGUCGUCAGUAUGAUGACCCCCAUUUUUAGUGCUUAAGGACACAGUGCAUCGAGGCGGUGCUAAGAAGGUGGUUAUUGGAGAAGAUGAUGUUAUGAAACUUUAGGCCGACUUUGUGUUCCUAAUAUUGAUUGCUUGAGGGCGUUGACACUUUAGGAGGCUCACAGGUUGUAAUGUUCUAACCAUUUAAGUGCUACAAAGAUAUAUCAUAACUUGAAUCAAGACUAUUGGUAGCGAACGAUGAAAAAAGACAUUGUUGGUCAUGUUUCACAGUGUUUGAAUUGCCAUCAAGUUAAGUAUAAACAUUGACUUAAAAGAUGGUUACACCAAAGAGGAAGUGGAAGCAUAUGACUAUGAACUUUGUGAUUGGUUUACCAUGCACCUUGAGGAAGUUUUAUUCUUCUGGGUCAUUAUGGGUAUGUUGACCAAGUACGUGCACUUUAUACCAGUGUUGACUACUUACACUUCAGAGAGGUUGUCUUAGAUUUACAUCAUCAUUUCUCUUCUGCAGUCUCUAGGGAAAAGGUGGUGGUCUUCUCGGGACCUCCACUGGCUCUGGAUUUUCAGCAUUCAUCUCUGGCUCCUUUGUCGCUUUAGGGAUCAACUCUCCCUCAGGUACAGGCUUAUCUUUCCUUUUCUUGGGAACUUCCUCAAGUUCUCUUCCAUUACGAAGUGUAACAACAUUCACUUGUGGAUUAUUCUCUGUGUCACUGGGGAGGGCCUGCAGGUCUAGUAUUUUGGUUUGUGGCCAGUUGCCCCAGCUGCCUCUCAAGAUUUCUGAAAUCCGUUCUCAGGUGCUGAUUAUCAUUCCUCAUCUGUUGAUUUUCAGUCCUUAUUUGUUGAGUGUCAUUCAACAACUUUUCAACAAAUCAUUGGUACUUUCUUACAUCUGUUGAGGUGGCUUUUGAUGAUGGUUGAAACCCCCUUAUGGUCUGAGCUGAUUCUGACCCUGCUGAUUUCCACCUAUGAGAAGUUGGGAUGAUUUAUCCAAUUAGGAUUGUACGAGUUUCCAUACUGCGCAUGCUGAUUUGGUGGCCCUCUGUUCUGUUGUCCCACAUAGUAGAUCGAUUCUGGAUUUGUGGGGCACAUGUCACUCCUAUGAUUAUCUCCACACAGCUCGCAUCAAACAUCCAUUUGGUUUACAUGUUGCAUUGGUUGUGGUUGAUCUAUUGCCAUUCUUGUCAUCUGAUUUGACAACUUUUCCAGUUCUGCUCUCAAGGCUAAAAUCGCAUCUAGUUCAAGUACCCAUGCUGCUUUCUACUUGAUUGCUCGUUGUGAAUCACCAUCACCCUGCCAGUUGUUAUCAUUAGCUGUAAAAGUAUUGAGCAAGGGUUGGAUUUCACUAUAUGGCCUAGCCAUGCAACUAACCCCGCAUUUUGAGUCUAAAUUCAUUUUUGAAGCAUCGUCCAACCCAUCUACAAAAGCAUGCCCCAACACCUCAUUGGUCUGACAGUGAUGAGGACAGUCUCUGAGCAUCUUCUUGUAUCUUUCCUAUGCCUGACGAAGUGUCUCACCAGCUUGCUGUUCGAACACAAGAAUUUGACUCCUCAACACUUUUGGCUUCCUGGUGGGGAAGAACUUGAUUAAAAACUUCCUAGCCAGAUCAUCCCAAGUGCGGAUUGAAUUUGCAGGCUCUUUGUUCAACCACUCCUUAGCGUCCCCAAUAAGUGAAAACGAGAACAAUGUCAACCUAACAUAAUCCUUGGGGACGUUCGGAUAGUUGUAUGUAUCAGUGAUUUCCAAGAAGUUCUGAAUGUGCCGCUGUGGGUCUUCAUGAGGUAGACCCAUAAAAAGCCCUGCAUUUUGAAUCAGCUGCACCAUAUACUGUUUCAGCUCAAAGUGCCCAGUUAUGUCAGGCUUCACAGUUGCCUGAGUCAUAUUUGCCAAACUAGGCCUUGCGGCUUCAAUAACUGCCCGUUCAUCACUGCGUGCCAUCUCAAUUGGCUGUGGUUGAACUACUAUAUCCAACUCUCGUUCAAUUCUGGUCCUAACGUCCACCUCCCUCCUCAACCUGUGAAGUGUCCGUUCAAUUUCUGGAUCGAGAGGAAGGAGAUUGUUUGCACUUCUAUUCAAUAGAAAAUCCUGUAUUAGCACAAACAAGGUGAAAUGAUAGUUAAUCUCAAAUAAACAAAUAAUAUAAGCUCAAAUUCAGUCAAAUAGCUAAUUUCUAAGUCCUCGGCAACGGCGCCAAAAACUUGUUGCGAUCAAAACAAUCACGCAAGUGCACGUGAUCGUCAAGUAAUAGAGUAGUGAGUAGAGUAUCGUUCCCACUAAGACUUAUGAUUAGCUUGUGACUGAUUCAAACCCAAUAUCUUUAUCUAUCCAAGAAUUUUAUCACAAAAGAGAUUUGAAUGUAUUCCUAACUAACUUCUAACAUUUUAAUCUAGCUAAAGAAAUUAACUAAACAAGCAGCAAUUUCUGUUAACAAACAAUAAAGGAGGAUAUUCUAGGGUCACGGGCAUAUGUAACAAUCGCGUUAUGUCCUCAGCUUCAAACGACUAAUUCAGUUAUCUGGGUUAUUGAUUGACAAGUUUAAUAAUACUCGUAAAAAUCUUUCGAGUUCUACUCGCCUAUUCAAGUUAACUCAAUGCCUAUAUGUCUAUGGAAUCAAGAUUAACAAAAAUGCAUGUAAAACUCAUAUAUUUCAACCAAGCAAGGCAAUUGGGUAUAUGUCUAUCCCAAUUGCGAAUCCGUCCCCCGAUGCCCAGGUUCAAGAACUUGCUCUAUUUAAUUCUAUAUGCAAUCUAAAGUUCCCACUUUCAAGUUCAACUAAGAUUCAUAGAUAGUACUUCACUGUUAGCUACUCAGCAAAAUAAUUAAAAUUAGAACUAAAUAAAUAACCCAAUAUGAUAAGCCGACUUCGUCGAAUCAAACUUCAAACAACAACAUUCAUGUUUUACCCAUGACCCUAGAACAAUGAGUUCUAGCCACUCAUACUAUUGUUCAACANNNNNNNNNNNNNNNNNNNNNNNNNNNNNNNNNNNNNNNNNNNNNNNNNNNNNNNNNNNNNNNNNNNNNNNNNNNNNNNNNNNNNNNNNNNNNNNNNNNNNNNNNNNNNNNNNNNNNNNNNNNNNNNNNNNNNNNNNNNNNNNNNNNNNNNNNNNNNNNNNNUGCAAAACCUUAUGAAAAACCUUGAUAAUUUGACCUUGGGCGAGCUUGACUUUAUAUAGGUUAAGUGGACUUUUCCCCAGAUUUUCAUAUUUGCCCCUGACUAUCCCUCACGUUUUCCGGAUAUGCGCGGGCGUGCAUUGGGCUGCGCAUGUCCCCACUCCCUGUCAUGGACGCGCAUCCCGUGCGUGGGCGCGCAUGCCCAGGUAUUAAUCUUCCUCAUUUUCUUGAGUUCUCUUCAAUCCUAUUUAGUCCCGAGGGGUCUCAAUUGCUCCUGAAUGAUUCCAAUCAACGUUUUCUUGCGCAAAAUAGGCUCCUUAACCUACAAUAAGUACAAUUCACUAUUAGAGUCCAUCUUUCAUCAAUUACUCAUAGUAUACAAUUGGAAUAUAAUAAGUAGAGGCAUAAACAAUGGCUAAAUCACCCAGAUUUCGCCUAUUAUCAGCCUUGGAUAAUGAGAGAACCUUGAGAAAGUAUUUUUAGGUGUCUAGGUUCUGAAAAUAAUAAAUACUAUUGAGUUAAAACGGGUUUGAGAUGUCUUAUACGUAUCAAUAUAUCUCAACCGCCAUUGUGGAUCCCAUAGAGAGCUGUUUGGUGCAGUCUCGCAAAAAUACAAAUAUCUCUCUACUACGAUAUUGUAUCGCCGAAUAAUUUAAUGCGUUAGAAAAUAAACUCACAUAUAUUCAAUUUUAUAGGUAGAUCACCCAAUAAUUCAAAGCAAAAUGGGAGAAAAUCGCACCUACAUUUGACCUAAUUUUCAGCAUAUUUAUGAAUGUAACUUGUGAUGAUUGCCAACUUUUGUUCCACAACUUGCUUGAUUUAAAAACAUAACACACGAUUAUCAUAUAUUUAUAAUAACUCAUAACAUAAACUCCUUAUCUUGUUAAGCACCCUAGUCUCAUCACAAAAGUACACGUUAUAACAUUCCCAACUUGUCGAUAUUCGACGAAACUUAUUUUCUUCAAUUUGCUUAGCUUCUUAGCUUUCAAUCGUCUUGGUACUUGUUAUCCAUGAUCUUAGAGAUUUAUAAUCUGCAAGAUAACAUGAUUAACUUACUUUAUGUACUCUCAAAGAUGAUUUCAUUACUGAGCUUACAUCAAUUGACUUACGAAUACUCUUUCGUGUGAAGAUAUGGGGUGUAACAGGUUAACCCAUUUUUUAUCUGUAUUAAAUAUGGGCCGGGUCGAAUAAUUUAUCUAUUUUUUGCAUUAACUCGCUUUCGACCUGUCCAUAUCCGACCCGCCCCGUCCGUUUGCCACUCCUAGCUAUUGGUGGACCUUAUAGUUUGUUCUUUUGCUGCUACAAAGAGCACCUAUUUUAGGUUGGAGGAUAUUUUAGAUCAAAUUUUUUCGUAAAAUUUAAAAAGAUAUUUUUGUAUAAAUUCUUCAAAUAAAGACAAAUAUUAACCGCGGGCAUUGAAGUAUCCUAUUUGCGCAAAUCUCCCAGGAAAUUACAACUGCAAAUUUUUUUCUUAUCUUGAGGAAAAUAUUACAAGGACAAAGAAAAAUAAUAAAAGAAGCAUCAAAAUUAGAAUUGUGGUUCUUAACCAAAAAAGAUGCAAAAGAAUUAUAGACAAUUAGAGUACGAAGCUGCACAACGAAGGGCCUAUCGGUAAUGCAUACUUGAUGGAAUAAUUAUGGUGUGCGCAAAUUGAACAAACGCCACUUCAAUACAAAGAAGAAACUUCUUAGUGCCAAGAAUGGGAUAUAAUACGUGAAUAGAGGAACUCAUUCCACGUGUCAGGCAAUCCGGGAAGGCACCAAUGAAUACAAUCAGAGUAUGUUGCUGGAUCAGCUUGCUGCUCCGGCGUCAGCGUUUUCCCAUACCGAGUGAUGUAGACAGAGGUGUGUGCAUCUUUCCUAUACUCCGAUAGAGAGGUAAUAUUGAGGAAGUCAACAGAGACAUUGAUGGACUGACUAACAUUUGGUGCUAUUACAAAUAGCCUCUUGUCUGUUCCAACAUUUAGCGGCAUUGAUGUGUUUAAUACUGGGGUUGUCUCUUUUGCACAUUUUAUCCCUUCUGGAUUGCCCCAAUCCGAACUCCUGUAAGUGGUUAACCAAGAAAACAUUCAAAGCAUUGUCAUAGUUGGACCUAGAGUUCGGUUGGCUCCUUAAAAAUAAGCACUGGCUAGUUAGUUUUUAAACUGAUCAAUAAAAAAUAACUAGUAUUUACAAAGUUAUUAAAAAGUAGCUACUAUUUUACCGCAACACAGAAAGUUCCAGCAUAAUAUACUGGAAAUCAUUGCACCUCAAUAUAUUAUGCUGGGUCAGUAUGUUAUACUGGAAUUCCAAUACAAUAUACUGGAGUUCCAAUAUACUUAUGCUGGAGUAUUUUUCCGGAUCUUGAAUAGUGUUUUCGUUCAGUUUUAUCUUUAUAUAAAAAGUGGCUAAAUUUCGAUUACUUUUGAAACUGUGGCUAUUUUUGAAUGACAAUUUGUAAAUCUGGCUAUUUUUGAAUUUCUCCCAAAAAUAGCUGAUAGACAUUAAAUGUUAAAAUAAAACUUUAGGUGUUGAAAUUGAUUUAUUUUACAUAUAUUUAAUAUAAAAGUAAUAAAAUUGAUAAUAACUACUUCGGAUGGUAGAAAGUAAAUAAAUAGUUUUUUUUCUAUUAAAAUUAUUAUAAUAUCCCUAAAGUUUGUUUACAAAAAUAUAUAAUUCAAAAAUAUCUUUAACUUAAAAGCAUAGAAUGACAAAACAUGAAAUGACGAGGGAGUUAGCGAUUUUGUUUUGAAAAUGGUACUUUGAGGAAACAAAAGUUUUAGAGAAAAAUUAAGAUCACACCAAAAGGCAAAAGUACUUAUAAGCUGAUCAACAUAAUUAAGAACUUUUGCUUAUAAACAUUUAACGUAAAAGCACAAAUUAGGUGAAGAAAGCAGAUGGAAAUGGGAUUACUUCAUAUGUAGAGGAGACAUGCUCAUGAAGAAGACGUGUGUGUGAUUGCUAUCCACAUUGUUUUCCACCCAUUGCGACCAUGUCGUCAAAACCCUCCGGUAAGCUAUUGCUCUCUCAAUCUCAUCAUACUCUAUCGCUCCGUCAUCGAAUGAUCCUCGUCUGUUUGGUAGGAAAAAUAAUGAGAAACGUAUAUUUAUAGUCGCUUAGACAAGAGGGGUUACUCUGAUGGUAAGAAACCCUCACUUCCAAUCGAGAGGUUGUGAGUUCGAGUCUUUCCAAGAGCAAGGUGGGAAGUUCUUGGAGNNNNNNNNNNNNNNNNNNNNNNNNNNNNNNNNNNNNNNNNNNNNNNNNNNNNNNNNNNNNNNNNNNNNNNNNNNNNNNNNNNNNNNNNNNNNNNNNNNNNNNNNNNNNNNNNNNNNNNNNNNNNNNNNNNNNNNNNNNNNNNNNNNNNNNNNNNNNNNNNNNNNNNNNNNNNNNNNNNNNNNNNNNNNNNNNNNNNNNNNNNNNNNNNNNNNNNNNNNNNNNNNNNNNNNNNNNNNNNNNNNNNNNNNNNNNNNNNNNNNNNNNNNNNNNNNNNNNNNNNNNNNNNNNGAAGGAUACCGGGGGUCUAUUUGAAAACAGCCUCUCUACCCAAGGGUAGGGGUAAAGUCUGCGUACACACUACCCUCCCCAAACCCCACUAAGUGGGAUGAUACUGGGUUAUUGUUGUUGUUGUAUAUUUAUAGUCGCUCCCAAAAGUAGUAGUACACAAAAUAUAUAUUGUAUAUACCUGUAUUAUAUGCUAAAAAUAUACACAUAUUUUAUAACUUUAAUUUUUGGCUAGUGAAUGCAAUUAGUUUCAGCCAACCGUUCAGUUUUAUAUUUUGCCCAAAAAUAUAGAAUACUGAAGAGGAAAAUAUGAAGCUGGAUUCUUUGUCUUACUUACAGAAUUUUCAUGGCAAAAGUAUUCAUCCACCAAAUGUAUGUGUUGAAGAUGAGAUAGUCCACAUUCUUCCAGUUGUUGC